rnacentral:lncRNA from 1 species
UCCCAUACAGUUGUGGUAAACAAAGCAUUAAUAACUAAAAAAGAAGUCAAUGAAGAAUGUGCAGAAAGAAAAAAAAAUUAAAAGAAUAGAAAUAGAUCAAAUGAAUCUCAAGAUAGAAUAAUAAACAUAACGAGGCUUUGAAUAAGAGAUCAAUGAGUGAUAACUCAAAGAUCGCUGAUAGCAUCAAAUAUUCUAGAUGUGGUAAAACUCAUAUUAAUAACAAAUUUUAUUGACUC